rnacentral:rRNA from 1 species
CAUGCUUUCGGAUGCCUUUAAACGGGUGUCGGGGGCGGACGGCAUCUUUACUUUGAACAAAUUUGAGUGCUCAAAGCAGGCCUAUGCGCCUGAAAAUUCUUGCAUGGAAUAAUGAAAUAGGACUUCGGUUCUAUUUUGUUGGUUUUCGGAUCCGAAGUAAUGGUUAAGAGGGACAGACGGGGGCAUUUGUAUGGCGGUGUUAGAGGUGAAAUUCUGGGAUCGCCGCCAGACAAACUACAGCGAAAGCAUUUGCCAAGAAUGUUUUCAUUGAUCAGGAGCGAAAGUCAGAGUUUCGAAGACGAUCAGAUACCGUCGUAGUUCUGACCAUAAACGAUGCCAACUGACGAUCCGCGUUGGUUCUAUAAUUGACAUCGCGGGCAGUCCCCGGGAAACCUUUAAGUCUUUGGGCUCCGGGGGGAGUAUGGUUGCAAAGCUGAAACUUAAAGGAAUUGACGGAAGGGCACCACCAGGAGUGGAGCCUGCGGUUUAAUUCGACUCAACACGGGAAAACUCACCCGGCCCGGACACUGUGAGGAUUGACAGAUUGAAAGCUCUUUCUUGAUUCGGUGGUUGGUGGUGCAUGGCCGUUCUUAGUUGGUGGAGCGAUUUGUCUGGUUAAUUCCGAUAACGAACGAGACUUUAACCUACUAAAUAGUAGACUGGUCCUCUGUGCUCGUUCAGGGCGCGGCUUCUACUGCUUCUUUAUGGAGUAGUGUGGUCGUGAUCCGACGGGUGCGGUGCCAGUUUUUACUUCUUAGAGGGACAAGCGGCACACUUAAGUCGCACGAAAUUGAGCAAUAACAGGUCUGUGAUGCCCUUAGAUGUCCGGGGCCACACGUGCGCUACAAUGACGGUGCCAGCGAGCCUGGAAACCUGGCCCGAAAGGGUUGGGCAAACUGUUUCAUCACCGUCGUGACUGGGAUCGGGGCUUGCAAUUAUUCCCCGUGAACGAGGAAUUCCUGGUAAGUGCAAGUCAUAAGCUUGCGCUGAUUACGUCCCUGCCCUUUGUACACACCGCCCGUCGCUACUACCGAUUGAAUGGUUUAGUGAGGUCGUUGGAUUGGUGUCGUUGUAGUGGCUUUAUCGCUGCUCGACUGAUAUCGAGAAGACGACCUAAUUUGACUAUUUAGAGGAAGUAAAAGUCGUAACAAGGUUUCCGUAGGUGAACCUGCGGAAG